GACGAACGCUGGCGGCGUGCUUAACAUAUGCAAGUCGAACGGUGAAGCGCCUUCCUUUUUGGUGGGUGUGGAUGAGUGGCGAACGGGUGAGUAACACGUGAGUAACCUGCCCCCUUCUUCUGGAUAACCGCAUGAAAGUGUGGCUAAUACGGGAUAUUCUGGGUCUGUCGCAUGAUGGGUCUGGGAAAGAUAUUGUUUCGGUGGGGGAUGGGCCCGCGGCCUAUCAGCUUGUUGGUGGGGUGAUGGCCUACCAAGGCGGUGACGGGUAGCCGGCCUGAGAGGGUGGACGGUCACACUGGGACUGAGACACGGCCCAGACUCCUACGGGAGGCAGCAGUGGGGAAUAUUGCACAAUGGGCGCAAGCCUGAUGCAGCGACGCCGCGUGAGGGAUGGAGGCCUUCGGGUUGUGAACCUCUUUCGCCAGUGAAGCAGGCCUGCCUCGUUUGUGGGUGGGUUGACGGUAGCUGGAUAAGAAGCGCCGGCUAACUACGUG
rnacentral:rRNA from 1 species